AACGAACGCUGGCGGCAUGCCUAACACAUGCAAGUCGAACGGGACCUUCGGGUCUAGUUGCGCACGUGUGCGUAACGCGUGGGAACCUGCCCUUAGGUUCGGAAUCACUCCCCGUCAGGGGUGCUAAUACCGGAUAAUGUCUUCGGACCAAGGAUUUCGCGCUUUUGGAUGGGCUCGCGGUUGAUUAGCUUGUUGGUGGGGUAAAGGCCUACCAAGGCGAUGAUCCGUAGCUGGUCUGAGAGGAUGAUCGGCCACACUGGGACUGCGAUCCGGCCCAGACUACUACGGGAGGCAGCGGUGGGGAAUAUUGCACAAUGGGCGGAAGCAUGAUGCAGCAACGCCGCGUGCGGGAUGACGGCCUUCGGGUUGUAAACCGCUUUCGCCUGUGACGAAGCGUGAGUGACGGUAAUGGGUAAAGAAGCACCGGCUAACUACGUG
rnacentral:rRNA from 1 species